GCGAGAGCUCCGGGCAGACCGCCGGGGAGAGUUGCGCGCAGGCGCGGUCUCGCGUUCUUUCCGCGAUCGGCCGCAUGUCUGGGAAGCAUGGGGCCACGGUGGGGUGCAGCACCUCUGAGCAGCCUUACAGGCCUUGGGUGAUGCCUUUCUCUAGCUUCUGGGGAGAUGAGAAGCAGAGCUGCAGGUUGCAGUUUAAAAGUAACGGAACCGCAAAAUGAGAAAAGAUGGAUGCAAGCAGGACCUGGGGGUGAUCACCAGAAAGCAGAGAUGGCGUGAUGUCCCGGCACAUCCACCUCAUAAGUUGUUCGAAGUUAAGUUGAACUAUCCAUGGUAUUGGCUGUGGACUUGUGAAACCCAUCAUCUUAAAAUAUUGACCUUAAGAAUUUUUGUGAUGAAAUUUCUGUAAAUGGUGCAGUCUCUGCUUCAGUUGGAAAAGGACCCUCUAGCAGCCACACUGUGGCAGGUACCAUGGACCUGAACCUCAAGUGGAAUCUCUCAUGUAAGCAGAGAAGUCCUGCUGCACAUGCUUGGGUGAAGGGUGUCUACUCAGCGAGGUUACUAACUGUAAACUGCUUUACCAGAAG